GUGGCAUAUGAAAAGAGAACAGGUUAGCACUCUCCUUGACAAAAACACCCUAAAAUGGAAAAUUAAGACUGUUUCAGUUUUCUGCAUUCUUUAUUUA
rnacentral:ncRNA from 1 species